rnacentral:lncRNA from 1 species
GGCCUAUAGUUAUCCAGAGAUUUUGGAUCAUUCUUUUUAACGAUCAAUGAAAUUGCCCCCUUUUUUUUUGCGAAUUUGUCAAACUUUUCUUGUUAUAUGACUCAUUAUAUACUUUGGUUAGUAUCUUUUGAAUUUGGGGCCAAAAUUUUCUAUAGAAUUCUACAUUAAGUCCAUCUAAACCUGGUGCUUUAUUAAGUUUCAUUUUAAACACUGCUUCUGUAAUUUCUUCUGAUGUCACUAGCCCUUCUAAAAUAUUACUAUCUUUAUCUGAGAGUUUUUUUUUUCUAUUUUAGUAUUUUGAAUAUACUCUUUAGUAUGUAAUUUAUCUGGAUUUGAUGAUUUAUAUAGUUUUUCAUAAUAUUUUACUUCCUCUUUUAAAAUUUCUGUUUGGUCUGUAAUAGUAUUGCCUUUAUUGUCAUACAAUUCUAUUAUAGUUUUAUUUAUUUGUCUUGGUUUUUCUAAAUUCAAGAAAAAAGCAGUAUUUUUUCACCUUUUUCUAUCCAUUUUGCUCUUGACCUUAUUUGAGCUCCUUUAGUUUUUUCAAGAUAUAAUUGAUCUAAAUG